rnacentral:rRNA from 1 species
UACGUAGGGUGCAAGCGUUGUCCGGAAUUAUUGGGCGUAAAGAGCUCGUAGGCGGUCUGUCGCGUCGGUUGUGAAAGCCCGGGGCUUAACCCCGGGUCUGCAGUCGAUACGGGCAGGCUAGAGUUCGGCAGGGGAGACCGGAAUUCCUGGUGUAGCGGUGAAAUGCGCAGAUAUCAGGAGGAACACCGGUGGCGAAGGCGGGUCUCUGGGCCGAUACUGACGCUGAGGAGCGAAAGCGUGGGGAGCGAACAGG